AGGUUUUCUGGAUUCUAUGCAAAAGAGUGUAUUCGUGAUUUUCAUGCCGCUGUUCCUCUGCAUAUUGUUUACAGUUAUUUUAACGUUGUGUCCUUCUAUAGCUGUAUUACCGUAAGCUUAACACAGAGUGGCAGUGGUAUGGUUUCUUUGUUGUUGGUUUUCUUGCAAUUAAAUCAGUUUGAGCUUGAAGACUGUCUAUACUGAACAAGUUGGGCAGACGUUUGGAGAGUUAAACAUUGUGCUCUGAGGUAAAUAUAAUCAGUUAAAGGCUUCGAGGAAUCAGAUGAUAGGGAAGUACUUUCUAGAGCAAUUCAAUCAGGAACAGUUUGCCUCUGCACAAAAAUACUAUUGCAAUUGAUGUAAUAUAUGCAAAGCGCGGGUACCAUUACUCGUACAUGUAAAGCCUUACAUAGAUGAGACGAAACACCACCACCAUAGCUCUAUGCAAUGAAAUGCUUCAAGUUUUGUGUACCUGCUCACCCCACAAGCCUCACAUCAAACAGGUGGAAACUCGAAGCAAACCAGCAGCUUGUUGGGUAUGGUCUUCUGUGUGUAGCCUCAUGAGUAUUUCUUAUCAUUUGAUAUGGGUUCUUGAGUCUUGAAAGAGUCUCAACUUCCCACAACUAUUUGGACGAGUAGUGAUGAAGCCAUAUUGUACUCCGAUCAUCUCUCACGUUGUCUCCAGUCUCAACUGUCCGAUUGUGCGCCCUGACGGUUUUUUUUUUUUUGGUUCUUUCAAGCUUUUUUUUUAACCCCUCAUUGAUAUUUUCACUUUAAGUUAAACUGUGCUCUAUACCAUGGAUAAUAUGGGGACUUUAAUAAAUUGGAGAAGCCUUUGACACCAAAAGAUGGCUUGGCUUUAAAGUAGUAGAGAUGGGUAAAGUGUAACGGUGCUAGAAGAAAGAUGUAUAUAUAUGUGACACUGAGUUGCUAAUUGAGGAUAAUG